UCGAGGAUCUUCGGCAAUGGGCGCAAGCCUGACCGAGCGACGCCGCGUGGAUGAUGAAGGCCUUCGGGUUGUAAAAUCCUGUCGAGGGGGAUCAAGCGCAAGUUGAGUGAUCCCUGGAGGAAGCACGGGCUAAGUUCGUGCCAGCAGCCGCGGUAAGACGAACCGUGCAAACGUUAUUCGGAAUCACUGGGCAUAAAGGGCGCGUAGGCGGCUCCAAAAGUCAGGGGUGAAAUCCGGCAGCUUAACUGUCGCAGUGCCUUUGAUACUGUGGAGCUAGAGGGAGGUAGGGGUCUGUGGAACUUCCGGUGGAGCGGUGAAAUGCGUUGAUAUCGGAAGGAACGCCGGUGGCGAAAGCGACGGACUGGACAUCUUCUGACGCUGAGGCGCGAAAGCCAGGGGAGCAAACGGGAUUAGAUACCCGGUAGUCC
rnacentral:rRNA from 1 species